rnacentral:lncRNA from 1 species
GAACCCAUUCACAGGAUGGUAAUCCUCUGACAUCCUGAGAAUCCAUUGAAGUACUGGAAGGCUAUUAACUAAAGCCUUCCAGCAUGGUGGGAAGAUACAUGAAAUCCGAGAGCCUCCAGGAGCAUUAUUCAUGCUUUCGAAGAAUGACAUAGAUCAGACAUUAAUCCAGGCAACUCCUUCUGUAAUCUCGUGGAUUACAACAGCAUUCCUUACUUAUGAUUUAGUUCAGCUGAAGAUGACUCCGGAAAGAGUUUUCCUUUCUUCAGAGCUCAUGAGGGUGUUUCAGAGGUGAGGUCAUCAUAUGGACGAGUCACAGCUAGAGGAGAUCCACCUUGUCCCACAUUCAAGCGCUCAUCAACCUGGCGGGAGUCUAAAUGAUCAGGGUGUUAAAACUAUUCCAUGGUGCUUGUUUUCCAGCUGUUAUGUUGUUCAAGAUUGGUGGUAAGAGUUGGGUU